ACAAAAACAUGUCUCUUUGAAAAAUUACUAUAGAGAGUCGAACCUGCCCGGUGAUACGUCAGUAUUUAACGGCCGCGGUACUCUGACCGUGCAAAGGUAGCAUAAUCAUUUGCCCUAUAAUUGAGGGCUAGUAUGAAGGGUUUGACAAGGGCACCCCUGUCUCUACAGAGAAUUUCUGGAACUUAUUCUUUAGGUGAAGAACCCUAAGUAAAAUUAAAAGACAAGAAGACCCUAUCGAGCUUAAAAAUCAACUAUGAAGUAAAGAAAGUGACAAAUCACAUUUCUUUUCAUAAAAAUUUUUGGUUGGGGCGACUAAGGAACAGUCAAAGCUUCUUUUUAUCCUUAAAAACAAUUUAGAUCCAUACUUUUUAUGACUAAAAGAAUUAGUUACCGUAGGGAUAACAGCAUAAUCUUUUUUGAGAGCUCCCAUCGAAAAAAAGGUUUGUGACCUCGAUGUUGGACUAGAAUGUCCUGAUAGGUGCAGACGCCUUCAAGGGUUGGUCUGUUCGACCAUUAAAAUUCUACAUGAGCUGAG
rnacentral:rRNA from 1 species